GACAAACUGUGCCUCAUCCAGAGACAGGUCAUCCAGGGGUGGCUCCACAGAGAACUCCUCCACCUGUAGGCACAGCAUUGUGACUCAGGACCAGGAGGCCCUGUCCACCCUUGACUCCAUGCCACCCCCAAACCCAGCACGGCUCUCCUUACCUGAGGCCCAACUCCCAGGAGCUCCUCCAGGUUCUGAGCUGCUUGAGUCCUCUAGGAAGGAGAAGGAGUCCUGCACCUCCUGGGACAGCGAGUCCUCCAGGGCAGGAGCCAAGUCGUCUGGGCCUGAGUCUGCCAGGGGACUUGAGGCUGGACUUGCUUCCAACUUUUCAUCUGUUGGGGGAGAAGUAGUCCCAGGAAUACAAAGGUCAAGCCCUGACCCUUUUCAGUGUGAGUCCUCCUAGCAUUGAUAUAGCAGGGGCCCAGCACUCCCAGCAUUGCUACUCUGCAUGACUGAUCCUUUCAGACCAAUGUCCCUAGUUAUUGGCUUGCUACCUUAAUUGAGACCCUACCAGGUGCCAAGCACUGUGCUAUGUAUUUUACAAUGCAUUGGCAUUUUUUCCUCCAAACUAUUAUGUGGGGUAUUGUCCUCAUUUUACAUAUGAGGAAACUGAGGCUCAGAGAGAUUAAGCAAUUUGUCUAAGGUCAUGUAAUGAAUAAGCAGUACAGCCAAAAUUUGAACCCAAGUCUACUUAACUCUAUAGCCCAUGUUCUUACCCACUAUCCUAUCCUGCCUCAGGACUUCUCAUGAGUGACACUUCAGGAACUGGAGUCAGAGCAAGGAUCAGAUCCUAGCUCUGCUACUUCUACCUAAAUCAAUUGCAAAUUGAUUAACCUAAGUCUCAGUUUCCACUGCUGUAACAUAAGGCUAACAAUACCUAUGUCAUAAGAUUAUGAGAAAAUGAAACAAACCAAUCCUGCAAUCACAGCACUUGGACCUUUUUUUUUUUUUUUUUUUUUGAGACGGAGUCUUGCUAUGUCUCCCAGGCUGGAGUGCAGUGGCGCAAUCUCAGCUCACUGCAACCUCCACCUCCUGGGUUGAACCAAUUCUCCUGCCUCAGCCUUCUGAGUCUCUGGGAUUACAGGCAUGCCUCACCACGCACGCCUGGCUAAUUUUUUUUUAAUUUUUUUUAGUAGAGACGGGGUUUCACCAUGUUGACCAGGCUGGUCUCGAACUCCUGACCUCCAGUGAUCCACCCUCCUCAGCUUCCCAAAGUGUUGGGAUUACAGGUGUGAGCCACCGUGCCUGGCCUAGCACUUGGUACUUAAUAAACUGUUUUUUGUUUUUUUUUUUUUAAUUUGAGACAGAGUUUUGCUCUUGUCGCCCAGGCUAGAGUGCAGUGGCGUGAUCUCGGCUCGCUGCAGCCUCUGCCUCCUGGGUUCAAGCGAUUCUCCUGCCUCAGCCUCCCAAGGAGCUGGGACCGCAGGCAUCUGCCACCACACCUGGCCAGUUUUUUGCAUUUUUAGUAGAGAUGGGGUUUCGCCAUGUUGGGCAGGCUGGUCUUGAACUCCUGACCUCAGGUGAUCUGCCUGCCUAGGCAUCCCAAAGUGCUGGGUUUACAGGCAUGAGCCACGGCGCCUGGCUGGUACUUAAUAAACUCUUGCUAAAUGUUAGCUGAUAGUAUUGAUGUUACUAUUAUUGUUACCCAUCCAUCUAUUAUAUAUUCCCACAUUUGUCCUUAGUAAUCCCUGCUGUAUGUUUCUGACACAGGCCCCUAUUCUUGGGUACAUCAAUGUUCUGAAGGCUGCUAGAGAUCUCCUCUCCAUAGAUUUCACAUAGCCUGAUAAUAUUACUGGAUUUCCCUAAUCCUGAAUCUAGGGAGGCAGCUAAAGGUAACCACCCCAAAGCCCAAGGGCUGAGGCCUCUGCCCUUCCUAGGGUGGAUCUUCCAGCAUCAGAGCUUCAGCCUAGAGUUCCAGUCCCCUUUCCUAGUCUUGGUCAAUCAAUGGGUCCUCACCUGGGGGGCCAGGGCCAAGGCC
rnacentral:lncRNA from 10 species